rnacentral:tRNA from 1 species
GGUGCUGUGGCUUAGUUGGUGAAAGUGCCUGUCUAGUAAACAGGAGAUCCUGGGUUCAAAUCCCAGCAGUGCCU